GGGCCCAUAGCUCAGUUGGUAGAGCGCCUCGUUUACACCGAGGAUGUCGUCGGUUCGAGUCCGGCUGGGCCCACCA
rnacentral:tRNA from 2 species